rnacentral:rRNA from 1 species
UACGGGGGGGGGCAAGCGUUGUUCGGAAUUACUGGGCGUAAAGGGCUCGUAGGUGGCCAACUAAGUCGGACGUGAAAUCCCCAGGCUCAACUUGGGAACUGCGUCCGAUACUGGAUGGCUUGAAUUCGGGAGAGGGAUGCAGAAUUCCAGGUGUAGCGGUGAAAUGCGUAGAUAUCUGGAGGAAUACCGGUGGCGAAGGCGGCAUCCUGGACCGAGAUUGACACUGAUGAGCGAAAGCCAGGGGAGCAAACGGG